rnacentral:rRNA from 1 species
CAGCAGCCGCGGUAAUACGAAGGGUGCGAGCGUUAAUCGGAAUUACUGGGCGUAAAGCGUGCGUAGGCGGUUUGUUAAGUCUGUUGUGAAAUCCCCGGGCUCAACCUGGGAAUGGCAAUGGAUACUGGCAAGCUAGAGUGUGUCAGAGGAUGGUGGAAUUCCCGGUGUAGCGGUGAAAUGCGUAGAGAUCGGGAGGAAUAUCAGUGGCGAAGGCGGCCAUCUGGGACAACACUGACGCUGAGGCACGAAAGCGUGGGGAGCAAACAGGAUUAGAUACCCCCGUAGUCCCUGUCUCUUAUAC